rnacentral:lncRNA from 12 species
UGCCUGUGUCUCUGCCUCUCUCUGUCUCUCUCACAAAUCAAUAAGUAAAACCUUUUACAAAUGAAACAGAAACCACAUCUAAAAAAUCAACUUCUGAAGAUAAUCGAUUUCUUUUUAAUUAUACGGCCCCGAUAUUUAAACUAUGGCUUUUCAAAACCAUCAACAAGGAAAAAAUUUUAAAAAGCAACAGAUAAGUACUAGGAGAUCAUGAAAACCCGCCCAUCGCACCCUGCGCCGCACCCACGCCCCGGCAGCGCGUGGUCCGGGAGGCCCCGCCAGCGAGACAGCCAGCCCGGGCGAGGGAGGAGGGCGCCGCGUGCAGCCCGCGCCCCGCCCGCGGCCCCGGCGGCUCGCACCUUCCUCAGCGCCGACAUCCUCGAGCGCUCUGAGUUCAGCAGGCGAAGGGCGACAUGCUUUGUGGCCCGUCCGUCCAUCCGCACCGCCAGCCGACAAUCCGCGGGGCCGCCGCCGCCGCCACCGCCACGCGUCCCACCGCGCUCCAGCCUGGCACACGCUCGGAGCCCCCCGCCGGCGCCUGCGCACUGGGCGCCCCGGAGGCCUGGCGCGCUGGGGGCCAGCCGGCGCGCGGAGGCACCUGGGAAGGGCCAGGCAAGCGCGGGGAGCCCAGGCAGCGCCGCGCCCUGUCGUCCGGGGUUCCUUCCGCCCCACCGCUCCCCCGCCCCUGCCGGCGCGCAGGCCCCGCCCCGGAUGCCACCUGUGGCGCGGGUCCCCUGGCGCUGGAGGCGGCGGUAGCCUGCAGCAAGUGCAGCUCGCCCGCAGCCCCACGGUCCCAGCGCGCCUGCCCGGCCGGUGCCAGAGCGACACGAAGGUAGCGCGCGUCCCCCCAGGGGCGGUGCCCCGCAUCCGGAGGACAGACCCGGCACUUGCUGCCUCGGGCGACGUGGACGGAGGCUCUCGAGCUGUCCAGGGACCGUCUGUCCGCCGCUGGCGCUGCCCUAAACACGAGCCGCUUCCGCCUGGGCCCUCGCCGCUGCCCCGCGGGAGCCGGACGCCGCCCCCUCCUCAGGCCCCGCAGCUCCUCCAGCCCGCCCGUCUGCCCGGAACAGUCCGCGCCGCACCCACGCCGCGGGAGUGCAGGGUCCGGGAAGCACCGCCGGCGAGGCACCAGGCCGCAGCGCGCAGCCCACGACCGGUCACUCCUGCAGCUCGGGGUCCCUGCCCGCGCCCCGCCCGCGGCCCGUACCUUCCUCAGCGCAGACAUCCUCGGGCGCUCGGAGUUCAGCAGGCGCAGGGCGACAGGGCACACGGCCCGUCCAUCCGCAGGGCUGGCCGUCAGUCCGGGGGACCGCGCUCGAGCGCAGUGCACGCUGGGAGCCCCCCGCCGGCGCCUGCGCACUCCUCGACCCGGAGGCCCCGCACGCUGGGGGCCGGCCUGAGUGCGGAGGCACCUGGGGAGGGGCCACAUCCGCACCGGGGAGCCCAGGCAGCACCGCGCCCUGCCGUCCGGGGGUCCUUACGCCCCACCGCUCCCCCGCCGCCGCCGCCGCCGCCGCCGCCACGCGCCCCACCGCGCUCCAGCCCGGCACACGCUCGGAGCCCGCCGCCGGCGCCUGCGCACUGGGCGCCCCGGAGGCCUGGCGCGCUGGGGGCCGGCCGGCGCGCGGAGGCACCUGGGGAAGGGCCAGGCAAGCGCGGGGAGCCCAGGCAGCGCCGCGCCCUGUCGUCCGGGGUUCCUUCCGCCCCACCGCUCCCCCGCCCCUGCCGGCGCGCAGGCCCCGCCCCGGAUGCCACCUGUGGCGCGGGUCCCCUGGCGCUGGAGGCGGCGGUAGCCUGCAGCAAGUGCAGCUCGCCCGCAGCCCCACGGUCCCAGCGCGCCUGCCCGGCCGGUGCCAGAGCGACACGAAGGUAGCGCGCGUCCCCCCAGGGGCGGUGCCCCGCAUCCGGAGGACAGACCCGGCACUUGCUGCCUCGGGCGACGUGGACGGAGGCUCUCGAGCUGUCCAGGGACCGUCUGUCCGCCGCUGGCGCUGCCCUAAACACGAGCCGCUUCCGCCUGGGCCCUCGCCGCUGCCCCGCGGGAGCCGGACGCCGCCCCCUCCUCAGGCCCCGCAGCUCCUCCAGCCCGCCCGUCUGCCCGGAACAGUCCGCGCCGCACCCACGCCGCGGGAGUGCAGGGUCCGGGAAGCACCGCCGGCGAGGCACCAGGCCGCAGCGCGCAGCCCACGACCGGUCACUCCUGCAGCUCGGGGUCCCUGCCCGCGCCCCGCCCGCGGAACGACCUUCCUCAGCGCAGACAUCCUCGGGCGCUCGGAGAACGGCAGGCGCAGGACGACAGGGCACACGGCCCGUCNNNNNNNNNNNNNNNNNNNNNNNNNNNNNNNN